rnacentral:rRNA from 1 species
GACGAACGCUGGCGGCGUGCUUAACACAUGCAAGUCGAACGGAAAGGCCCUGCUUUUGUGGGGUGCUCGUGUGGCGAACGGGUGAGUAACACGUGAGUAACCUGCCCUUGUAUUUGGGAUAUCUCUAGGGAAAUGGGGCUCAUAUCGGAUAGGAGCUCCUGCUGCACGGUGGGGGUUGGAAAGUUUCGGCGGUUGGGGAUCGACUCGAGGCUUAUCAGCUUGUUGGUGAGGUAGUGGCGUACCAAGGCUUUGACGGGUAGGCGACCUGAGAGGGUGACCAGCCACAUUGGGACUGAGAUACGGCCCAGAAUCCUACGGGAGGCAGCAGUGGGGAAUAUUGCACAAUGGGCGGAAGCCUGAUGCAGCAACGCCGCGUGCGGGAUGACGGCCUUCGAGUUGUAAACCGCUUUCGCCUGUGACGAAGCGUGAGUGACGGUAAUGGGUAAAGAAGCACCGGCUAACUACGUG